rnacentral:rRNA from 1 species
AUUGAACGCUGGCGGCAGGCUUAACACAUGCAAGUCGAGCGGAGAUGAGGUGCUUGCACCUUAUCUUAGUGGCGGACGGGUGAGUAAUGCUUAGGAAUCUGCCUAUUAGUGGGGGACAACAUUCCGAAAGGAAUGCUAAUACCGCAUACGUCCUACGGGAGAAAGCAGGGGAUCUUCGGACCUUGCGCUAAUAGAUGAGUCUAAGUCGGAUUAGCUAGUUGGUGGGGUAAAGGCCUACCAAGGCGACGAUCUGUAGCGGGUCUGAGAGGAUGAUCCGCCACACUGGGACUGAGACACGGCCCAGACUCCUACGGGAGGCAGCAGUGGGGAAUAUUGGACAAUGGGGGGAACCCUGAUCCAGCCAUGCCGCGUGUGUGAAGAAGGCCUUAUGGUUGUAAAGCACUUUAAGCGAGGAGGAGGCUACUGAGACUGAUACUCUUGGAUAGUGGACGUUACUCGCAGAAUAAGCACCGGCUAACUCUGUGCCAGCCGCCGCCGUAACAC